rnacentral:lncRNA from 1 species
UUAAUAAGAAAAGGAUUACAUGAAGCAAGGUAUACCAGGAAUGAAGAAACGUUUAAAACAACUUAUUAAAACAAUAAAAACCAGUUCUGAUAAAAUUGAAACAUGUUAGAUAUCAAAGACAAUGGAUCUCCGAAUAUAGCUGAAACGACCAGCUUGAGAAAUAUGAUCAACCACUUCAUUCCCUUCUUCAAUUUCGAGCUUUGCCCAUCUCUGCUACCUCUUUCGGGGCCAAAUUUUGCAACACAAAAUUUCCAUUCUUGGCAGGAUCAAGUUGAAAAUAAUCCAUUUUCCAAUUCUCAAGCCAAGGCUUCUUUCAUGCAAGCAACGUGGUAACAAUACUCCCCACACUUUGCAACAUAAAACCAACUAAAUUUUUCCUUCCUUUGGCAUUUUAAGCAUUUAGAGUUGACCUCUUUACGAAGGUAAAUUUCCAUCCUAUUGUCAGAGAAGCUUAAUGGAAGCUUUGCACAGCAAGGAUGUAGGUCAUGUCCAGGUUAUGUGAGCACUGGUCGAGGAACCCUUGUAUAACUUUUCCACAAGGGUCACAGAUUCUAACAUGUCGUCGCGGAUUUUCCCUGUAAAAUUUGAAAUGACAAUUUUGUAGAAGUUGGUGAGAAUGGGAAGGAAGAUUAAUUCCACAUUCC